rnacentral:rRNA from 1 species
GUUAAUAGCCAUUCCAUACUGGACCUACCUAAUUUCACCUGACUUAGAAGCUAAGCAGGUUAAGGCCUGGCUAACACUUAGAGAAGAGAUUCUCUGGGAGUAAUAUGGGCUUUGUUGGGU